rnacentral:lncRNA from 1 species
GUUCUGGUCUGUGUCCUGUGGAGCAGGGAGAUGCGGCUUCUGAAUUAGUGACACCACAUUGCUACCUCCAUGGUGUCUUUUAAACACAGAGAGUCAUCAGCCAUCAGGCAGAGCUCCUGCAAGGAGGGGACCGACCACUGCCAGCCACAGGACAAGAGGAGCAACGUGGCUGUCGUGAUUCCAGCCAGCAUGCACUGAGCACCUAGCAGGGAUUCUCAGUCCCCCGCCUGCAAAACAGGGAUGUUUAAAGUUCUUGCCUCAUUGGGUUUAUUAUCAAAUAAAAUAAUUACAUCCGAAUCGCCUCAAACAGUAGCAGCAUGGCAUAGGAAUGUAAUAA